AGCCGCACGUGACCACGACGCUGCUCGGUCCUGCGACCCAGCCAUCGCCGGCCGCCGUGCAGGUCUAUGCCUCGCCGCUUGUUCCACAGCUUCUGUUCUCGUGUGUGUGUGUGCGCGCAUGCGCGUGCACUCGCAUCGAACCCAUGGCCUUUGCCCUCAGCUGCAGCCUCAGCCUUGUUUUAUCUCCUCUUCCUAAGUCACUACAUCGCCUUGUGACCCUCCUGCCUCAGCCUCCCAGAGGGCCGGGAUGACAGAAGAGUGGUGUUGAUGAUGAUGAUGACGAUGAUGACUUUGAUGUUGGCUGUGUGAGCCUAAGUUCCUGUGUCAGUGAAGUGGAGCAAGAAUUGACUGACACAGACACAGGGAAUGCAAACCUCCUCGAUUCAGAUGAUGAAGAGAACAGCAAUGCGAGUGCGUAUCUGACUAGUUGAAAUGUUGCAAAAUGGUCAUGCAACCAAAUGGAACAAUCCAAUUCUAAAACAAGGUCUGAAAAUAUAGUAAGGAUCUUGGUGGGGGUGAAACAAAAUGCUAACAGUUGAAUGCUAUUCAAUGUUGGAAAUUGUAACGGACUAAAUGCUAUAAGAUGUGAAAUACACAAAGGCUGAAAUACAAGUAAAACAUUCUGUAUGCACCAAUAGCCAUAUUCAAAAAUGUUUUUAUUACCCCCUAAGCUACCUGAACUGAAAGCAUUCGCAAGACUGCUGUACAUAGCAGGGACUUCUCAUGGUAAUCACAGGAAUGUAAAAGACUGUUAUGGAAAAACACUGGGUCAAAAUAUGGCAUAAUAAUUUAUGCCCUUGCAGAUGUGAAGACUUAUUAUGCUUUCAAUUUAGAAAUUUAUCCUAGAACUCAGCCAUCAGGUUCUUGUUCAUAUAGUUAUAAACUAAAUGAUGUUGUGAACAGACUUGUUGCUCCCAUCUCCCAAGCUAAUUGGGAUGUGACAUUCAACAAUUGGUUUACCAGUUUCCAAUACAUGUUUCAUUUGCUAACAGAACACAAGUUAACAGCACAGGAACUGUGUGCAGGAAUAAAGCAGAAAUUCCAAGUGAAAUGUGCAAUUUCAAAACAAA
rnacentral:lncRNA from 1 species